GCGUUCAUCGAAAUGGUAUCAGAAGGUGGAGAAAGUUACUCAGAAUUUCAACGUGAAAAACAUACCAAAGCCUCUGCGGAAUUUCUUCACGGCAUUUGCUAGGCGCCACUGUGGACCUGAUGGGGCCGAUGAUGAUGAAUACCGGGUUAACUUCGCACUUAGGACAUAUCGAGAGUUCGCUUUGGCCUUCAAUUGUACAGACGCUCAGAUGAUGAAAUCGGAUGACAAUUGUGAUAUAGUUGUGAGAUCGGAGCGUCGUAAUGCCUUUAAAAAGCGCAAAAAUUAAAUCCAUUUCCUGGCGGAACAUUUGCCAUGCACAACAUUCCAUACUUUACCAAUUGUUCAGAAAAAUAGGUGCUCUUAUACUGUGCAUUUAGAGGCAGAAUGAUGCCUCUGCCCAAGCUGAGAUAUGUGGUGUUGUCUCCUUUGGACUGCCAUUAUUAAAUAUAAAAAUAAAGUUCUUUAC